rnacentral:rRNA from 1 species
AGCAGCCGCGGUAAUUCCAGCUCCAAUAGCGUAUAUUAAAGUUGUUGCAGUUAAAAAGCUCGUAGUUGAAUUUCGGGGUUAGUAGGUUGGUCACGCCUCUGGUAUGUACUGAUCUCACUGAUUCCUCCUUCCUUAUGAACCGUAAUGCCAUUAAUUUGGUGUUGCGGGGAAUUUGGACUGUUACUUUGAAAAAAUUAGGGUGUUUAAAGCAAGCUAACGCUUGAAUACAUUAGCAUGGAAUAAUGAAAUAGGACGUUCGAUCUUAUUUUGUUGGUUUCUAGGAUUGACGUAAUGAUUAAUAGGGAUAGUUGGGGGCAUUAGUAUUCAAUUGUCAGAGGUGAAAUUCUUGGAUUUAUUGAAGACUAACUACUGCGAAAGCAUUUGCCAAGGAUGUUUUCAUUAAUCAAGAACGAAAGUUAGGGGAUCGAAGACGAUCAGAUACCGUCGUAGUCUUAACCAUAAACUAUGCCGACUAGGGAUCGGAUGAUGUUAAUUUUUAAUGGCUCAUUCGGCGCCUUAC